CUGAGCCGUUCUGCUGCGCUGUCAAAUCUCAUUUUGCUGUAGCACUUAACCUACAUGCUGAUCCUCUACCCAUUUGGAGCUUUCAGCAGACCCAAGCAAACAAACACGGAUUGAACUUCUCUCAGAUGCUGGCUCCCUAUGCAAAUUCAGAGAACACAAACUUCAUGCACAUCUGCAGUUGUUUGCAAUCAGCCCCGAGGUCUGGUUGUUGUGAAAACAACAAGAUGUAUUUAUCGACUGCUUUUUGAUUGAUUGUUUCCUUCAUUUUUUCAGCAACAAUGCCAAACAUUCAGAGGUUGCAGCAUUUAAAAGAUGAGUAUGACACAUGUUUAUGAUACACAGUUUAUACUUUUUAAAGCAUAUCCAAAUACUUUAGUGUUUUGGACUUUUGAAUUUGAAGACAUCAUCUUAAAAUUCGAUCCAUGAGACUUAAUAUCAAAAUAUUCUACUGAGGUGUGUUUAGCCAACUCAAUAAACCAACCUGUUUGAAAGUUCAGUGUCCAUCCAAUAAUAAAUACGUGGUUAGAAAUAGUUUUGUAUCUUAAUGUUUAGUUUUUAGUACAGUACACUAAAGUUAUCAAUAUUGUGAAUCAUAUCGCAGAGCAAUAUCUGUGAAAAUCAUCUUACUUUUUCCAAAUCGUGCAGCACUAAUGCAUCAUGAUUUCCAGCUACUCUUUCACUUCUCUUAGAGAAAUGGGCACAAACACUUUUCGGGGUGUUUGUGAAUGUUACUUUUGGAGGAUAGUGCAGAGUUGUUUUGUCCAACUUGUUUCUUUGUACUCUUCUGAGAUAAAGUGUGCCAGAGUCUCCUGUGAAAUGAGCGUGUGCGCUCUCUCUCUCUCUCUCUCUCUCUCUCUCUCUCUCUGGUGUAUUAAAGAGAUAGAGUUUCAUUAUUUGGCCAACUAUCCUCCCUGUGUCCAGCUUUAUCAGCCAAGCAGAGCCCAGCACGGUGUGUAUCUGUGUGCUCACCUUUUGUGAAAGUAUUUUGCCGAGGGAGUUUAUUCCUUUAUCACCCACUUUCUGGCAAGUCGGUUCCAUAUUGGAGAGUUUCAGUCCGUUAUGAUAAUGUAGGAGCUGUUGCAGCACAUCUGCCAGGUGCAGAAAGUGUGUUUUGUGUUCUGCCAGUCAUUUAGCAAAUGCAGCAAACUGUCUUUAUGUAAAAUAGUUUUACAUAGAUCUUUUCACUCUCUUCCUCUGCUUUGUUUGUGUGUUGUAGACAUAUACAUGUGGAUUUGAGUCUGUAUAAUGAAUGAUAAACAAAGAGGAUUUGAAUGUUAAUGCGAUCACAGACCUGCAUUACCCCCCCAUGGGUUCAUUAGUUCUCUGGUUGAAGCCGACCAUAUUGAAUGAAUGCCAGAUAAUAUUGUGCUUGUUACACAAGCAAUUUUCCAUAGUCGUCUCAUUUAUCUGUUAGCCGUGGGCAGUACACACCAUCUGGAAACUUGGCCCACUCCCACAGUCUCACACAGACAGAAAACAAAGCAUGUACUCUUCCUGUUUUACACAUGACUGCAGAAGUCCAAGAAAUCAGUGUCUCAUUAUGAAUAGCAAAGUGAUUUUCAGUCAGAAAUCCACCGUUGUUCUCCAUGUGUUCCUCUCAUCCUCCACAAUUCUGUCCUCAUUUUCCUGUUUGUUUUCGUUUAAGUCCUUUGCCUCCAACUCUGCCAGCAGUAGAAAUAAAAUCGAGCUGCUGGAGCCUAAAUACUGAAUCUCUCUCCACUCCUAGUCUAAUUUUCCAGAAAUAAUGUCUUAUAUUACCUCCCACUCACAUCCCGCAGUGGUCUGCUCUUUACAAACAAUAAAAUGUUCUGUCAGUUUUUAUCAGGAUUGGCGCUAAAUCUUCAGGAGGCCAAUAUGCGGCAGCGGCAGUCUUUUCUCUUCUAAUCUCAGAGAACAGCCAACUGAUGGUAACUGUAGAUUGUGAGCCUUUUCAUCCAGAGGUUUAUAGCUCAUCACAAAUGCUUGUUCAGCCUUUCAGUGGAAAUGUCAGCCUACUGUAGUUUAAUAGACCCUCAGCCACAAUCGCUCAUCCUUACCUUCACAGAUUUUUUAAUUUUUUAUAUGGCUUGGUAGUGAUUGGUUGGUUUGUAAAACAAGAAACAUCAUUGGUGAUAAUCUACUGCGCUGUAGUUAACUCUGCAGUUCAUAUCUGUGGAAAAUACUGGAAUGUACUUGUUGCUGUAUUUCUGAGACAGCAUUAACCUUUAGCCGAUAUCAACAAUCUACUUAUCAUGUUUGAUUCCUUUAAAAUUCUUAUCAGAUGUUCUUAUUGAAAUGUUUAAAUGACCUAAACUCAAGGUUCAGAACAUCCAGCAAAACCAUAGGUCAAAUUUUCAAUGGCGGCCUAAUUCAAGUUCAGAGUCUGUGGCCUUGAUAUCAAUUUCGGAUAAAUAUGUAUUUGACAUAUUUAGGCUGUUGUUAUGAUCUGCCGCCACUGAUGUUUCUCAUUUUAACCGUCAAAAACAAUGCUUAACAAUAAGCCUGAAAUCACUUCCUGACUGUAGGGCUGCAAUUGAUUAUCAAUUAUUCAUUACCACAAGUAACCAGAGCUCAAAGACAAACAGUCCAAACCUGAAAUGUAUUCAGUUUACAAAUACUGUAUAUAAAACAGAGAAAAGCAGAAGCCAGCAAAUGUUUGGCAUUUUGGUUUAUUAAUGACUUAAAUAAUAAUUAAAUGCCAGAACUGCAUUUCAUUUUUGUCAGUGCAAAUCAAAUGUAACUGUAAUACAAUGUUGGUUACAGUAAUAUAUUGUAAAUAUAAGGAGUACGUUAUGCUUAUGAAAUUGUUACAUUAUUUGAUAUGACUUGUAGCAGCUACAUCAUGCAAACAGCUCCUGUUGACCAGAGACCCUUACCUUUGCCUUCCCCCUGUAGAUCCUUUCAAAGUACAGUGCACUGUGAUGAUGGGUUUAGUUUCUGGCUGCGAGUUCUGUCAGUCAAAUCCAGGCGGGCCAUGUGGUGGGACAGCCAGAGGGGCUCAGAAUCCAAACCCUGCCAGACUCUUUGUGUUUGUUUAGUGAAAUCUGUCAUUACUGAGCUUUAUGGGAAAGAGAUGCGAUGGAAGUUGCAGCUAACAUGUGUGUCACAAGUGUGUGUCGAGGGUGGCAUUUUUAGUUAGAAUAAUAUUAGCUCCUCUUCUUGCUGAAUUUGUCUGAAAUUAUAGGCAAAAACCUUAUUGUGUCCUGGGGGUCUUACCCACAUUGUCAUAAUUGAUUUCUCCCACCCAAGUCCAGACAGAUAGCGUGUACCUUUGCAUUAGGUUUGUUGAUACAUUAGCACCCAUCCAUCCCCUCAUUGGUUGCUGCUGGCCUGGUUAACUGGCUAUCUAUUGUUGCAGUGUCAGUGUGCUGUUUGUUAUUUUAACAUUACACAGAGGUUUAUGAGGGAUGCUUUCAUUAAUUUGGGUCACCAUGGAAACAUAGCAGCUGGUCCAUCUUUACCGCAUGUAUUAAUGUCGAUCGGUUGAUUAAGUGGGUGAAGACCUCUCUCCGAGUCGAUGUAUCUCUGAACUGUGUUGCUGUAUUAGUCACACAAGAAUAGCUGUCAGGAUUGUAAAAGCUUCACUAAUUAUCUGAUCAUCACCGUUAAUCCCCUCUAAGGUCUUUGGUAGAUUAUUGAUUUUUGGAAAAACAUUUGAAAUGAUCACAGGGAGGGAUAUUUGGAAUAUCAAUUGUAUUUCCUUUUUUGGAUCCAGUAUCACCGAGAUGUAUGAAUAUUCAACACUAAGUCACUUUGAAAACCAAGAGCACGAUGGCAUUUUGGAUCGAGCACAGGGAUUUUUUUCAAGAAGAGUAAAAUUAAACUGGAGCAACAUCACCGAAACAGACUGCCCCUUACAAUCUAUUCUCUAGGUGUUUCACAACAAUUAACACUCUUUAUGCAUCACUAAUGACUUUCACAACCUCAGUGUGAAUGACCCACCUUAGGUAAUGUGAGGGAAAAACAUAUCCCCUCAUGGCAAAAAACACAUUAAUGUGAAUCAAUAUCCUACCUAUUCAUACCAGGUUUUUAAACAAGCUAAACACAUAUUUCUUUCUCUCAUCCAGCAAGAAAUCCUUAACCGUGGAGUUGAUACAUUAAAUAGAACUAAAAUAAGAACAGUUCCUAAUGUUUGAAUUCUGUCUUCAUGUUAAGUUGCAGCGAGGGAGGAGGAGCGUCAUCCAUCCCAGCCUGCUACUACAUUCAGCAUGAGCGCCUCACAUUGCGCUCUAACUUUAGAAAGCAAGGCCAUUCCCCUGAAGCCUCAGAUUCUCCAUCACCAUCUCUUCCAUGACUCACAGGACAGCAGAUCAGAUAAGGAGAGAGAAUAUGGAAGAUGAUGAUUCCAGGAACUAGUGCUGAUGCUGACACAAUGUUACUAUGAAUGGAGGCGGAAGAGGAGGCGGCGCAGGAAGGACACGCUACCUUAUUUGUGGCGUCGAUGAACUUCACCCCUUUGUAGGACACGGAGAGGACGAUGGUCGGCACCUUCUUCAUCUGCUCUGUGGACUUCUUUGAGUUCAUAAGAAGCAAGGAAGACAAAGAUCAUGAGAGAUGGCAUCUGAAGCAGUCAGUAGACAGGAUAGCACAGGCAUCAGUUGUAGUACUACACGUUUAACACUCCGUAGUCAAAAUGUGUAAUUGGUUCCAAAUAAAUGACUUUAGUUUGGUAAAUUAUUCAUACUUUAAUCCAUUUUUUUUAAUAAAGAAAUAAAGCAUGAGGUGGAUGAGGUGUUUAAACAGUG